UAUAUAUAUAUAUAACUUAUCUAAGAUAUUGACCAUUUUAAUUUCGUUUCCCAACUUUUCAAAAUUUUAAUUUUAUUAUCCAAUCUUUCAGUUUAUUUAAUUUGAAUUAGUCAAUUGUACUUCGACUUCAAAUUUAUCUUUACAGGUUUAUAGUAUACAUUUUUUAAAUUAGCUUAAAUUUUAAAGUUAAAGUACCGUUAACUAAUUUAAUGAAACAAAUUGAAAAUUUGGUUAAUAAAAUUAAUAUUUUGAAAGGUUAGAUAGCUAAAUCAAAA
rnacentral:lncRNA from 1 species